rnacentral:rRNA from 1 species
UCGAACGGAAAGGCCUGCAGCUUGCUGCGGGUACUCGAGUGGCGAACGGGUGAGUAACACGUGGGUGAUCUGCCUUGCACUUCGGGAUAAGCUUGGGAAACUGGGUCUAAUACCGGAUAGGACAGCUGUUUAGUGUCAGUUGUGGAAAGUUUUUUCGGUGCAAGAUGAGCUCGCGGCCUAUCAGCUUGUUGGUGGGGUAAUGGCCUACCAAGGCGUCGACGGGUAGCCGGCCUGAGAGGGUGUACGGCCACAUUGGGACUGAGAUACGGCCCAGACUCCUACGGGAGGCAGCAGUGGGGAAUAUUGCACAAUGGGCGGAAGCCUGAUGCAGCGACGCCGCGUGGGGGAUGAAGGCCUUCGGGUUGUAAACUCCUUUCGACAGGGACGAAGCGUAAGUGACGGUACCUGUAUAAGAAGCACCGGCUAACUACGUGCCAGCAGCCGCGGUAAUACGUAGGGUGCGAGCGUUGUCCGGAAUUACUGGGCGUAAAGAGCUCGUAGGUGGUUUGUCGCGUCGUCUGUGAAAUUCCGGGGCUUAACUCCGGGCGUGCAGGCGAUACGGGCUGACUUGAGUGCUGUAGGGGAGACUGGAAUUCCUGGUGUAGCGGUGAAAUGCGCAGAUAUCAGGAGGAACACCGAUGGCGAAGGCAGGUCUCUGGGCAGUAACUGACGCUGAGGAGCGAAAGCAUGGGUAGCGAACAGGAUUAGAUACCCUGGUAGUCCAUGCCGUAAACGGUGGGCGCUAGGUGUAGGGGGCUUCCACGUCUUCUGUGCCGUAGCUAACGCAUUAAGCGCCCCGCCUGGGGAGUACGCCGCAAG